GCAAGUCGAACGCCAAAGGGGCAACCCAAGUAGCGUGGCGAAAGGGCGAGUAAUGCAUUUCUAACGUACCCUUGACUCGGGGAUAGUUCACCGAAAGGUGCAGUAAUACCCGAUGAUGUUACCUGGUCGUAUGUCUGGGUAACCAAAGGCUUGCUGGUCAAGGAGCGGGGAAUAUCCUAUCAGGUAGUUGGUAAGGUAACGGCUUACCAAGGCGAUGAUCCGUAGCCGGCCUGAGAGGGCGGUCGGCCACACUGGCACUGAGAUACGGGCCAGACUCCUACGGGAGGCAGCAGUGGGGAAUUUUCCGCAAUGGGCGAAAGCCUGACGGAGCAACGCCGCGUGAGUGAAGAAGGGUUUCGGCUCGUAAAACUCUGUUGUCAGGGAAGAACGCCGACGGGAGUAACUGCCCGUCGGGUGACGGUACCUGACCAGAAAGCCACGGCUAACUACGUGCCAGCAGCCGCGGUAAUACGUCGGUGGCGAGCGUUGUCCGGAUUUACUGGGCGUAAAGGGAGCGUAGGCGGACUUUUAAGUGAGAUGUGAAAUACCCGGGCUCAACUUGGGUGCUGCAUUUCAAACUGGAAGUCUAGAGUGCAGGAGAGGAGAAUGGAAUUCCUAGUGUAGCGGUGAAAUGCGUAGAUAUAGGAAGGAACACCAGUGGCGAAGGCGACACACUGGCUCAUUACUGACGCUGAGGCUCGAAAGCGUGGGGAGCAAACAGGAUUAGAUACCCUGGUAGUCCACGCCGUAAACGAUGAUUGCUAGUUGUCGGGAUGCAUGCAUUUCGGUGACGCAGCUAACGCAUUAAGCAAUCCGCC
rnacentral:rRNA from 1 species